ACCCAGCUGACGAGUCCCAAAUAGGACGAAGCGCGCGUACUGGAA
rnacentral:hammerhead_ribozyme from 1 species